GACGAACGCUGGCGGCGUGCUUAACACAUGCAAGUCGAGCGGUAAGGCCCCUUCGGGGGUACACGAGCGGCGAACGGGUGAGUAACACGUGAGCAAUCUGCCCAUCACAUUGGGAUAACUCCGGGAAACCGAAGCUAAUACCGAAUACGACCAGUUCCGGCAUCGGAUGCUGGUGGAAAGUUCCGGCGGUGAUGGAUGAGCUCGCGGCCUAUCAGCUUGUUGGUGGGGUAACGGCCCACCAAGGCAACGACGGGUAGCCGGCCUGAGAGGGUGACCGGCCACACUGGGACUGAGACACGGCCCAGACUCCUACGGGAGGCAGCAGUGGGGAAUAUUGGACAAUGGGCGAAAGCCUGAUCCAGCAACGCCGCGUGAGGGAUGACGGCCUUCGGGUUGUAAACCUCUUUCAGCAGGGACGAAGCGCAAGUGACGGUACCUGCAGAAGAAGCACCGGCCAACUACGUGCCAGCCGCCGCUGUAAGAC
rnacentral:rRNA from 1 species